GUCUACAGCCAUACCACCCUGAAUGUGCCCAUUCUCAUCUUAUCUCAGAAGCUAAACAGGAUCAGGCCUGGUUAGUACUUGGAUGGAAGACAGAUCUUCAGAAGAGACU
rnacentral:rRNA from 1 species